rnacentral:lncRNA from 1 species
GCAUUAUGAAUUAUACUGAAUUUUUACUUUCAAUGGCUAAUUUUUUUUAAAAAUAAUUAUAUACCAUAACUUCGAAUUUAUCAACCCUAAUAAUAACAAAAAUAAUUAUAUUCUAUAAUUUGAUAAAAUAAAUCCUAAUUAUUAUUAAUAACAAAAUUAAAUCAAAACAUAUAAAAUAAAAUUAAAAAAAUAUGAAAUAAAAUUUAAAAAAUCGAAAGUGAGAUACGAUGCCCUAAAUCUCAAGUGCAUCUCUCAACCACCUCAAC